GACAGAGGGUGCAAACGUUGUUCGGAUUUACUGGGCGUAAAGCGCGUGUAGGCGGCUUUGCAAGUCGGAUGUGAAAGCCCACGGCUCAACCGUGGAAGUGCAUCCGAAACUGCAUGGCUGGAGUCUCGGAGAGGAAGGUGGAAUGCUUGGUGUAGAGGUGAAAUUCGUAGAUAUCAAGCAGAACACCUGCGGCGAAAGCGGCGCACUGGACCACAUCUGACGCUGAGGCGCGAAAGCUAGGGGAGCAAACAGG
rnacentral:rRNA from 1 species